GCCGUCUAGCGUCCAAGGUCCAAACCUGGCCCAAACAGAAGCAAAUAAUCAGUGUGAAGCAAUUAUAACCUUUUAUAAUCGUUAAUACUUUCGAUUACACUGAAUGCUUCACAGUUAGUAUUGACAAGAGGAAAAUUUCAUCAUCAACUUAACUUAGUUUAGCUUCGAUACGGCUUUAUUACACAGCUCGUUUGAGUCUCUGCAGUCUCCAGAAGGCCUCGAACGUCAGCGACAAUCACGGUUUAUGGCGUUUGAUCAUAAUAUUUGACUGUGUUUUGUGAAAGAGGCACACAUAUAAUGCAAAUUUGCAAACAAACGUUUGUUGAACGUUGAAGCAGCCAGACGUCAUCUGACAGAAGCUACUUCACUAAAUACGUUUGAGGCUGGAUCAGACUGAAACUGGAUUGUCACAUCAGCCGUGGAGGUGUAGAGUCUGAACCGAGGGAGGACACCGCUGUACUGGCCUAGGAUGUUGGCUGUGAGGUCAUCACCAUCAUAAAUGGACCUUUGUGGACUCCAGCAGACCAGUUUGUGGAACGUUAAUGAAGGUCUAGUAGGACCCAGGAGAGGCGGCAGUGUGAAUACAAGAUUUUUCCUUCUUGGUUUGGGAUGAGGGAGGACAGGCUCUGACAGCACAUGUCUCCCAUAGCAACGCAAGAGCUUUAAAGUCCAGCCGUGGCUCUGUCACCCUGUCAAAUCAGCGCAAAGGUGCAGUUUGGUGUCCUGCAGUUCAGCUGCCAGUCGCUGGCAUUUCUUCUUUAACUGCUGGACUGAUCGCUGGGACUCCUCCUGGUCAGCCUGCAAGUCUGCUAACUAUGAAGAAAGAAAAAGAAAGAGAGACAGG
rnacentral:lncRNA from 1 species